UACGAAGGGGGCUAGCGUUGCUCGGAAUCACUGGGCGUAAAGGGUGCGUAGGCGGGUUUUUAAGUCAGAGGUGAAAUCCUGGAGCUCAACUCCAGAACUGCCUUUGAUACUGAAAGUCUUGAGUAUGGGAGAGGUGAGUGGAACUGCGAGUGUAGAGGUGAAAUUCGUAGAUAUUCGCAAGAACACCAGUGGCGAAGGCGGCUCACUGGCCCAUUACUGACGCUGAGGCACGAAAGCGCUGGGGAGCAAACAGGG
rnacentral:rRNA from 1 species